CGAAGUGUCAACAUCCUACAAUUCUAUGAAUCGUUGAAGUUGCUUAUUGUUUGGCAGUUUUGGUACAUUUCAAAUUCAUGUUGGCAUUAGCACCACAGAAGAAAAAAAUUUACUUGGAAGGAAAGGUGGUUACUUUCAAGGAGAAUCAUGAAACUAGAGAUGAUUUACCAUGAACCAUUUGGGAACCAACUUGUUAGCUGCCUUAUAACUAUCAUCCUUCUGAUGAAAUAACAACAUUACAGCUGUUAGUUACGUCAAGACAUUAAUCUCAAGAUGCAAGUACUGAGCUUUAACGGAUUUCAAUUUACACAAGCAAGACAACCAAUUCUGUUGUUGAGGAGAAAACCAACUACACACCCAGCUAUGAAUGGUCUUAGUCAUUGGUGAAGAAAACCACUUGCCUUACAUGAGGCCACCACUAUCGCGUAAGAAUUGUGGUUCAGUGACGAUCCCGAAGUGUCAAACAAACUGAAGUUUAAGCAGUGGAACGGAAAAAAGUGAAGUUUGUUCUUCGAUCAGGAUGAAUUCUACUGCAGUCCAGUGGAAUUAGUUGCCAAAGAAAAUGGUGGUGUUUCAGUUGUGCGAGGACAUCAUGUAGUUAAACUGGACAUUGCUGGUCGCAAAGCCGAGUUAGAUGACGGCCUUACCAUCACCUACCACAAGUGCCUUAUUGCCACAGGUGGCAAACCCUAACAUCCAGCAGGAAUAAAGAUGUUUUGGAAGCAGUUGAAAGGCCCGCAAAGUAAAACAACAGAGUUAUUCGACUUUCUCCAUCAGCAACAACAGCAGCCUGAGCAACGGCCGCAUAGCAGUGUGAAAAAAAAGUGAAAAAAAUUCAAAUCUCGGACGCAGUGCAGUUGUUCGCCGAUUAUUCGAAGAGCAUACGAAACUAUUUAUACAAUGUCGAUGGCAAUAUUCUGCUUGAUGUUUACACUCAAACCUCUUCAGUUCCAUUGGGUUACAACCACCCUGAAUUAUUAGAUGUCAAGAUAAGGAAAACAUCAGAACAUUCAUAAACCGACCUGCCCUCGGUGUAUUUCCUGGUGAAAAUUAUCCUCAGCGAGUCCAGAAUUCUCUGUUACGUAUUGCUCCCAAAGGCCAUACAGAGGUAACGACGAUGGCGUGUGGAUCGUGCUCAAACGAAAAUGCGUACAAGGCAAUUUUCGUUUGGUAUCGCCGGAAACAGAGGGGAGAUAAGUCAUAUACCCCAGAGGAGAAGACGAGUUGCGUAAUGAACCAAUUGCCUGGUGUUUCUGACCUGACUGUUAUGUCUUUCAAAGGCGCUUUCCAGGACAGAACGUUUGGUACGUUAAUCACGACUCAUACCAAGCCAGUCCAUAAACUGGACAUUCCUACAAAGGACUGGCCAAUUGGAACCUUCCCUCGCCACAAGUAUCCGUUGGAAGUAUUUGUGCGUGAAAAUGAGGAAGAAGAUCGUCGCUGUUUGGCGGAAGUUGAAGAGCUUUUUGAUCGGUACAACAAAUGUAAAUAAUAUGCUUACCUGGAUUUAGUUCGUCUGUUGCUACCGAA